UAAAGUCUUGGUCCUAAACCUAACAUUACCUGUGACCUUGCCUAUACAUGCAAGCCUCAACAUAACGGUGAAACAGCCCACUUAUUCUAACCCACGAAUAGGAGCGGACAUCAGGUCUAAAUCAACUACCCAUGACGUCAAGCAUUUGCCACACCCCCACGGGCAUACAGCAGUAGCUAACAUUGGGCCAUAAGUGAAAACUUGACCCAGCAAAGGUUCACACAGGGCCGGUUAAUCUCGUGCCAGCGACCGCGGUUACACGAUAGGCCCAAGAUAAUGUCCACGGCGUAAAGCACGACUAGAACAAGUAUAAGACUUUAAGGAUGAAACCAGACUAAGCUGUAAAACGCCACAAGUCAAAUUAAACACCUAACCCUUAAAAUAUUAAAACCAUUUCAACUCGUGAAAGCUAGGACACAAACUAGGAUUAGAUACCCUACUAUGCCUAGCCAUUACAUGGUAACAAAAACAUCAGUUACUCGCCAAACCACUACGAGUGAAAACUUAAAACUUAAAGGACUUGACGGUACUUCACACUCAACCUAGAGGAGCCUGUCUACUAACCGAUAAUCCACGAUUAACCCGACCACUUCUAGCCCCCAGUCUAUAUACCGCCGUCGCCAGCCCACCUUGUGAAAGAGACAAAAUGAGCUAAACAGUCAUACACUAACACGACAGGUCGAGGUGUAACUAAUGAAGUGGACCAAGAUGGGCUACAUUUUCUAACAUAGACUAUACGAAUAAAGUCAUGAAACUUACCUUAGAAGGUGGAUUUAGCAGUAAGAUGAGAACACAACACUCAGCUGAAACCAUUGCAAUGAAGUGCGUACACACCGCCCGUCAUCCCUGUCAAAACCCUAUCAACAAUACAUAAAUACACAACACACCUAAUAAAACAGGGCAAGUCGUAACAUGGUAAGCGUACUGGAAAGUGCGCUUAGAAA
rnacentral:ncRNA from 1 species